rnacentral:rRNA from 1 species
UACAGAGGUGCAUCAAGCCGUUUGUUUCGGGAUUCAUUGGGCGUAAAGGGUGGCGUAGGCGGCGCGGUAAGUCGGGUGUGAAAUCUCGGGGCUUAACUCCGAAACUGCAUUCGAUACUGCGGUGCUUGAGGACUGGAGGAGGAGACUGGAAUUCAUGGUGUAGCAGUGAAAUGCGUAGAGAUCAUGAGGAAGACCAGUGGCGAAGGCGGGUCUCUGGACAGUUCCUGACACUGGAGACAGGAAGGCCAGGGGAGCAAACGGG